CGUGGGUUUUGUUUUGGUUGAGCGAAAGCAGGUCCAGCUCCCGGGCAAAGGGCUGGCUGUCGGUGGGCUGCGGGCACAAACAGUGCUCGGGGGAGCCCAGCCCAUCGCCCAGUAAGGCAGGGCACGGCACGGAAAGGAAGGCACAAACCCAAGGACAGAUACCGUGCAGCACCAAACCUCCCACGGCUCUGCAAAUAUCGGGCACCACGAGGCCACACCGUUAAAUUUGGCACAUGCAAUGCAGUGUCACCGUUAUGUAAAUCCCCCCCGUGACGACGCUGUAUGUUUUAUGGAUGGUGUGUUUGCCGAUGUUCCUGCAUGUGUGUGCAGCUAAAGAAAUGCCUUUGAUUGCUGGAUUAAAAAAAAAAAAAAAUAAUAAAAAAUCACAAGAACCGUAAGGACA
rnacentral:lncRNA from 1 species